rnacentral:misc_RNA from 1 species
GAUCAUUACAGAAUGAAAAGUGCUUAACUGCAUUUUUUCUUACACAUGUGUUUUUCUUUUUUUGAAAACUUUGCUUUGGUAGGCCUUCUAUAUGGGGCCUGCCAGAGAUUAAACUCAACCAAAUUUUAUUUAAUGUCAACCGAUUAUUUAAUAGUCAAAACUUUCAACAACGGAUCUCUUGGUUCUCGCAUCGAUGAAGAACGCAGCGAAAUGCGAUAAGUAAUAUGAAUUGCAGAUAUUCGUGAAUCAUCGAAUCUUUGAACGCACAUUGCGCCCUUUGGUAUUCCAAAGGGCAUGCCUGUUUGAGCGUCAUUUCUCCCUCAAACCCUCGGGUUUGGUGUUGAGCGAUACGCUGGGUUUGCUUGAAAGAAAGGCGGAGUAUAAACUAAUGGAUAGGUUUUUUCCACUCAUUGGUACAAACUCCAAAACUUCUUCCAAAUUCGACCUCAAAUCAGGUAGGACUACCCGCUGAACUUAAGCAUAUCAAUAAGCGGA